rfam:Hordeum vulgare subsp. vulgare, WGS project CAJW01000000 data, contig: morex_contig_1579954
UACAUACUCCCUCCGUCCGGAAAUACUUGUCCUGGAGAUAAAUGUAUCCAUACUUAUUUUACUUAUAGAUACAUCAAUUAUAUCCAUUUCUAGGACAAGUAUUUUCGGACAGAGAUAUUUG